rnacentral:rRNA from 1 species
GACGAACGCUGGCGGCGUGCCUAAUACAUGCAAGUAGAACGCUGAAGGAGGAGCUUGCUCUUCUGGAUGAGUUGCGAACGGGUGAGUAACGCGUAGGUAACCUGCCUGGUAGCGGGGGAUAACUAUUGGAAACGAUAGCUAAUACCGCAUAAGAGUAGAUGUUGCAUGACAUUUGCUUAAAAGGUGCAAUUGCAUCACUACCAGAUGGACCUGCGUUGUAUUAGCUAGUUGGUGGGGUAACGGCUCACCAAGGCGACGAUACAUAGCCGACCUGAGAGGGGGAUCGGCCACACUGAGACUGAGACACGGCACAGACUCCUACGGGAGGCAGCAGUAGGGAAUCUUCGGCAAUGGACGGAAGUCUGACCGAGCAACGCCGCGUGAGUGAAGAAGGUUUUCGGAUCGUAAAGCUCUGUUGUAAGAGAAGAACGAGUGUGAGAGUGGAAAGUUCACACUGUGACGGUAUCUUACCAGAAAGGGACGGCUAACUACGUG